rnacentral:rRNA from 1 species
UACGGGGGGGGCAAGCGUUGUUCGGAAUUACUGGGCGUAAAGGGCUCGUAGGCGGCCAACUAAGUCGGAUGUGAAAUCCCCAAGCUUAACUUGGGAACUGCAUCCGAUACUGGAUGGCUUGAAUCCGGGAGAGGGAUGCAGAAUUCCCGGUGUAGGCGGAUGAAGCGCAGAUAUCGGGAAGAACACCCGUGGCGAAGGCGGCUCUCUGGAACGCAACUGACGCUGAGACGCGAAAGCGUGGGGAGCAAACAGG